AGAGUUGAUCCUGGCUUAGGAUGAACGCUAGCGACAGGCUUAACACAUGCAAGUCGAGGGGCAGCACGGGAGUAGCAAUACUUGGUGGCGACCGGCGCACGGGUGAGUAACGCGUAUGCAACCUACCUAUCGAGAGGGGAAUAACCCGGCGAAAGUCGGACUAAUACCGCAUAAAACAGGGGCACCGCAUGGUGAUAUUUGUUAAAGAAAUUCGCUGAUAGAUGGGCAUGCGUUCCAUUAGGUAGUUGGUGAGGUAACGGCUCACCAAGCCGACGAUGGAUAGGGGAACUGAGAGGUUGGUCCCCCACACUGGUACUGAGACACGGACCAGACUCCUACGGGAGGCAGCAGUGAGGAAUAUUGGUCAAUGGGCGGGAGCCUGAACCAGCCAAGUCGCGUGAAAGGAAGAAGGAUCUAUGGUUCGUAAACUUCUUUUGCAGGGGAAUAAAGUGCAGGACGUGUCCUGCUUUGUAUGUACCCUGAGGAUAAGGAUCGGCUAACUCCGUGCCAGCAGCCGC
rnacentral:rRNA from 1 species